rnacentral:rRNA from 1 species
GAUGAACGCUGGCGGCGUGCCUAAUACAUGCAAGUCGAGCGGACGUACGGGAAGGUUGCUGCACGGGUGUUAGCGGCGUACGGGUCAUGAACACGUGGUUAACCUACCUAUAGGACUGGAAUAACUUCACGAAACCUUAUCUAAUUCCGGCUGAUUUUUUGAACGACAGGUUUAAAAAGUGUGAGACGGUCUUGCGUUCACUUAGAUAUUUGUCGGCGCUACAUUAGCUAGUUGGUAAGAUAACUGCUUACCAAGGGAACGAUGCAUAGCCGAACUGAGAGGGUGAUCGGCCACACUGGAACUGAGACACGGUCCAGACUACUAAGGGAGGCAGCAGUAGGGAACCUUCCGCAAUGGGCGAAAGCAUGACGGAGCAACGCCGCGUGAGUGAUGAAGGUCUUCGGAUCGUAAAACUCUGUUAUUAGGGAAGAACAUAUGUGUAAGUAACUGUGAAAAUAUUGACGGUACAUCAGCAGAAAGCCACGGCUAACUCCGU